ACAAACUUGGUCAUUUAGAGGAAGUAAAAGUCGUAACAAGGUUUCCGUAGGUGAACCUGGGGAAGGAUCAUUACAAGGUAUCAAAAAAAAGUCGCAAAUCGCGGCAUGAUAACCAUGAUCAUCCACCUAUGUGCACUUAUUCCGGGGGGGGGAGAGGCUCUCUCUCUUUGUCUUUGCUGUUUGUCUGAUGUAUCAAAUGCUUGAUAAAUUAAUACAACUGUCAACAACGGAUUUCUUGGCUCUCGCAUCGAUGAAGAACGCAGC
rnacentral:misc_RNA from 1 species